rnacentral:lncRNA from 1 species
ACCUCUUCCAAACGGAACCCCUUUGCCAAAACAAACAGGGACAACUUUGUGAGUCUCAUACAAAUUUUUCAUCAACCCAUGAUCCCGAGACUGGGGCAGCUUUGUCAGUCUCAUACAAAUUUUUCAUCAACCCAUGAUCCCAAGACUGGGGCAGAUUUGUGAGUCUCAUACAAAUUUUCAUCAACCCAUGAUCCCAAGACUGGGGCAGAUUCGCAAGUUUCAAAUUUUCUCACCCUAACUUUCAUGGAUCCAAACCCCAGCUCAUUUUCCAUAACAUCAAGCUGGGGCACCCUUUGUGUAUCUCGUGUUCACCCUGACAUUCUCAUAUCACAUCUCCUUUGAGGAUUAUAUGAGGAAUGACUUUGUCCAUACAGUUAUCCCAUUCUCCUCUAAACCCUUCUAAACAUCUCUCAUUUCUCCACUU